CCUACGGGAGGCAGCAGUGGGGAAUAUUGGACAAUGGGCGAAAGCCUGAUCCAGCCAUGCCGCGUGUGUGAAGAAGGCCUUCGGGUUGUAAAGCACUUUCAGUGGGGAAGAAAGCCUUGGGGCUAAUACCCUCGAGGAAGGACAUCACCCACAGAAGAAGUACCGGCUAACUCCGUGCCAGCAGCCGCGGUAAUACGGAGGGUGCGAGCGUUAAUCGGAAUUACUGGGCGUAAAGCGCGCGUAGGCGGUCUGAUAAGCCGGUUGUGAAAGCCCCGGGCUCAACCUGGGAACGGCAUCCGGAACUGUCAGGCUAGAGUGCAGGAGAGGAAGGUAGAAUUCCCGGUGUAGCGGUGAAAUGCGUAGAGAUCGGGAGGAAUACCAGUGGCGAAGGCGGCCUUCUGGACUGACACUGACGCUGAGGUGCGAAAGCGUGGGUAGCAAACAGGAUUAGAUACCCCAGUAGUC
rnacentral:rRNA from 1 species